rnacentral:lncRNA from 1 species
AUCACUAGCAAACGGUGAAAAGACCCACUGGCGACUUCAAAAGGAUAACAUUGCAAGCAUCCGGCAAUGAUCCAGGAGACUGCUGGGAAUACAAGUGCUUACUCAAGAGCAACUACCCAAAGCAGGGAGGAAUAUCAACAUCGAAUAUUGAAUGAAGAUAACCACAAAGAGAUUAGGGUUUACAUCUACCGAAUACGGGGCAGAAGACCAAAAAUCUAGCUGAGGAAACAAGGGGUUU